rnacentral:rRNA from 1 species
GAUGAACGCUGACAGAAUGCUUAACACAUGCAAGUCUACUUGAAUUUGGGUUUUUAACUUAGGUUUGGGUGGCGGACGGGUGAGUAACGCGUAAAGAACUUGCCUCACAGCUAGGGACAACAUUUAGAAAUGAAUGCUAAUACCUAAUAUUAUGAUAAUAGGGCAUCCUAUAAUUAUGAAAGCUAUAUGCGCUGUGAGAGAGCUAUGCGUCCCAUUAGCUAGUUGGAGAGGUAACGGCUCACCAAGGCAAUGAUGGGUAGCCGGCCUGAGAGGGUGAUCGGCCACAAGGGGACUGAGACACGGCCCUUACUCCUACGGGAGGCAGCAGUGGGGAAUAUUGGACAAUGGACCGAGAGUCUGAUCCAGCAAUUCUGUGUGCACGAUGAAGUUUUUCGGAAUGUAAAGUGCUUUCAGUUGGGAAGAAGGAAAUGACGGUACCAACAGAAGAAGUGACGGCUAAAUACGUGCCAGCAGCCGCGGUAAUACGUAUGUCACGAGCGUUAUCCGGAUUUAUUGGGCGUAAAGCGCGUCUAGGUGGUUAUAUAAGUCUGAUGUGAAAAUGCAGGGCUCAACUCUGUAUUGCGUUGGAAACUGUAUAACUAGAGUACUGGAGAGGUAAGCGGAACUACAAGUGUAGAGGUGAAAUUCGUAGAUAUUUGUAGGAAUGCCGAUGGGGAAGCCAGCUUACUGGACAGAUACUGACGCUGAAGCGCGAAAGCGUGGGUAGCAAACAGG